rnacentral:tRNA from 1 species
GGCAACGUAGCUCAGCGGUUAGAGCGGGCGCUUCAUAAGCGCUAGGUCGUAGGUUCAAGUCCUACCGUUGCCA